rnacentral:sRNA from 1 species
AUUUUAUUUUCUUCUAACAUAUUAAAUCCAACUGAUUGUUUUUUUUUUCUUCUUCUUUUCUU